rnacentral:rRNA from 1 species
UACCAGCACCCCGAGUGGUCGGGACGAUUAUUGGGCCUAAAGUAUCCGUAGCCGGUCCUGCAAGUCUUCCGUUAAAUCCAGCUGCUCAACAGAUGGGCUGCGGGGGAUACUACAGGGCUAGGAGGCGGGAGAGGCAAGCGGUACUUUAUGGGUAGGGGUAAAAUCCGUUGAUCCAUAGAAGACCACCAGUGGCGAAGGCGGCUUGCCAGAACGCGCUCGACGGUGAGGGAUGAAAGCUGGGGGGAGCAAACCGG